ensembl:lncRNA
AUGGAAAAGCAUCAGAAAGACACAAUGGAGGUAAAACCUGUGGUUAAAAUGGAAGAGACCGAUGAAAUCAGCAUCAAAGAGGCCAUAAAAUACACUGAUAUGAGAAAAACAACCUUGUGGGAUCAUUCAUAUUGUGUCUCAGAGCAAGUUGCUACGAAUGACACUUGCAGUGCCACCCAGAAACGCAUCGACAAUGAUGUGAACUCCACAAAUCAGGCCUCACACAUCAAAACAGAAACCGAAAGAUUGCCUAUUACUGAUAAACAAAACACCACCUUCAGCUUUUCCUCAUGCCUCUUGAGUCAAUCAGAGCAAGAGCAUCUAAGCUUUAGACUGAAGGAAGAGAAUGACAUUGAGGAUGGGCUCAGAGAAACUGCAGCUUAUGAGGUGGCUGCAGAGGAGGAAAUUGGACUGACGGAGGAUGACGGAAGUACCGACACUGACGACGAGGUAAAUCCUGACUCACUACCCCCUGGUGACACGGCGUACAUCCCGGAUGUGGAGUUGAGCUCAGAUCCUGAUGACAGUGAUUCAAGAAGCAGCUCCUACAGCCGUCACCGAAAGAAAAAGAGACGGAAGAAGCAGACCCCCGACAGGAAAAGACCUGCAAAUAGGAACCUAGAGUCAGUUGACAUUGCAGAGAAAUUUGGGUUUCAGUCCGAUUCUCCAUUUUGCUGCUAUGGCAAAUUCGCUAAUCUGGAGAAGCAUAUGGAUGAUUGCAAGAACAAACUGAGGUUUGCUUGUUGCCUGUGCAGCAUGGUAUGUGAGAAUGAAGUGUUGCUGCUAAAACACAUGACCGAAAAACACCCCUCAGCUGGGUAUAUCUGUGCAUACUGCCACAAUGUUUUCCCUAGACAGGACGGUUUCAAAAAUCAUGUCUGUUUGAGAAGACCAACAGGCAGCAUAAACUUGCCAGCCACCCCGGUAACCCAGUUACCUGUCGUUCCUUUAUCCGAUAGCAGCAGUCAAGUAAGACCUUCUGCCCCUGCUUUGUACACCAAUCAAAACACCAUUAAAAUUAUCAAAAUAACUCAGACAGUGAACAAAGUUUCCACAGCCCCUGAUCCUACACCUGUGGUGACCACCUUGGGAUCAGGCGAAGCUUUAACGUUGCACCAAUUGCUUCAGGGAACUCCUGUGAUUCCUGCUAAGGUGACUGAUUUGGUUCCACAAGUUGUGGCAGUGCCGCAAACUCUUGUCAGGCCCCAUUUCCCUCCGCGUACUUGUGUCCCUCGCCCGAAAGUUCCUGUCCAUUUAUCUUCGGUAGUGCGCCCCUUGAUCCCAAAUCCAGCCAGGAUGACUCUUUGUAUCCCUACCCCUUCCAAUCCACCUCUUCCAACUCAAGUAGUUGUAUCCUUCUCACCCACUGUGAACGUGUUUGCACCCGGGCUAGUAUCAGCCAACAGGCCUGUUCUGAGACAAACGCCUCUGGCUAAUAUUAGACCUCUACCUGUAAACAUCCCACUGAUGACCUCGGUCACUUGUCCUACCUUGGUCAGCACUCUUAUUGGGAACAACCAGCCACAGAUCCCUCCUGCCCAGGUUAAGGCUCCUUUACAAAUAGUGGCCAUGUUUGUGAACCAAAGCAGGGAUUUGGCUCUGCAGAAGCAACUCAAGCAGAGUUGGCGCUCAAAGACCAUCUUCUCCUGCCGUCACUGCGGUGCCGUCUCGAGACAACCAUCGCUGAGGGUGCGCCAUCGCUACUUACACCGCGGGUCAAGGUUGUACAGAUGUCAGUGCGGAAGGUCGUUCCAAAGGCAGCUGCAUUUGCUGAGACACCAGGUUCAGCAUGCAGAGUCAGUCAGAUUUGUUUGUGCACGGUGUGGAAAUACAUUUGAAGGGGCACAUAAAUUGACCUGGCAUAAACGGAAGCAUAGAAAUGGCAGGCAGUGUGCGAAGAAGAAAUGCAAGGUGGCUUUUGACUGUAGCUGUGGGCAGAUGUUUACAAGGCCAUCUGCACUGUUGUGGCACAUGCUUAAAAACUCAAAUCUUUCAAAAUGCACUCGAAAAAACUCACAAUCUGUCUCUGUUUAA